UACAGAGGUCCCAAGCGUUGUUCGGAUUCACUGGGCGUAAAGGGUGCGUAGGUGGCGAGGUAAGUCUGAUGUGAAAUCUCCGAGCUUAACUCGGAAAUGGCAUUGGAAACUACUUUGCUUGAGGGUUGGAGGGGGGACUGGAAUACUUGGUGUAGCAGUGAAAUGCGUAGAUAUCGUAAGGAAGACCAGUGGCGAAGGCGGGUCUCUGGACAGUUCCUGACGCUGAGGCACGAAGGCCAGGGGAGCAAACGGG
rnacentral:rRNA from 1 species